rnacentral:misc_RNA from 1 species
GAUGAAGAACGCAGCGAAAUGCGAUAAGUAAUGUGAAUUGCAGAAUUCAGUGAAUCAUCGAAUCUUUGAACGCACAUUGCGCCCGCCAGUAUUCUGGCGGGCAUGCCUGUCUGAGCGUCAUUUCAACCCUCAUGCCCCUAGGGCGUGGUGUUGGGGAUCGGCCAAAGCCCGCGAGGGACGGCCGGCCCCUAAAUCUAGUGGCGGACCCGUCGUGGCCUCCUCUGCGAAGUAGUGAUAUUCCGCAUCGGAGAGCGAUGAGCCCCUGCCGUUAAACCCCCAACUUUCCAAGGUUGACCUCAGAUCAGGUAGGAAUACCCGCUGAACUUAAGCAUUCAAUAAGCGGAGGA